UGUGUCCACUUCUAUGGUCCAAGAAUGGAAAGGAUAGUUUAUUCAUUUUUAAUUUUAUCCAUUUAUCACUUGUGACUUUUAUAUCCCACAUUUGCUUCCUAUUUGCUUCAGCUUUUGUUGUUGUUAUAAUGCCUUAUAUAUGGCAGAUUGUCUAUAAAUGACGUGAUGAUGACAUUUUAGAGCUGAAAAUAUAUUAGAGAAGAUAUCAAGUGUUCUUAUUUUCUAGGUGACGAAAAUGAAGUCUUGGGAAACUAUCUGAUGCCAGUUCAGGGUCUGCUUCCCCUUGAAGAACAUGGGCUUGUCCUCUAGUUUAACCCAUGGGUACCAGUGACUGCUGAAAAAUGUAUGACUUUCCACAGAUUUAUAAUUUGUGAGUGACAUUCACUCAGGUUCCUGCUGCAGUGGUAGAAAUGACAAUCAAAGUAGCCAUUUGUCUUUCUUUUGAAUCUGAAAUGUAAGACUGCUUCUAAGUUGUCUAAAUAUUUGGAUUUUAAUGAUACUGUAUACUACCAAGUAAUAAUAAUUAGUGCAAAGAGAUGGAAGCACAUAUAAAACCUAGGGAUCUUUGGUUAUUUAUUUAUUUAUUUAUUUAUUUAUUUUCAUUUAAAUGAACCAACAAUCAAAGCCACAGAAAAUGCCUAUAUAUCCUGAGAGAGUCAGUGAGUCAUUAUCCUUAAACUAUGAAUGAAGAUACAGAGACAGAGAGACGUCGUGAGAAAUCAUCUUUCCGAAUCUAAAUGCAAAGCUGAUUCUUGAGAGAUGUAGAAUUCCUGUGUCACUUACUGGACACAGGAAUACCACACAAUACCAGAAACCCAAACUGUAAAAGCCCCUUCUCAGAGUAGCCAUCAAAGUCUAAGGAUUAAUGGGAGUCAUCUAACUCUACUGUUUUUGUUUGAGAUGUUGGUUUCAUUUUGGAGAGGGGUAGUUGGAUUUAGUGAGUAGAUUGGAAACUUCUCCUUUAACUAAUAAAAGCCAUAAUGGUGUUGUUCUAUCUGAGGCCUUUGCUCACCUAGACACUGUCUCACCAGGACUACCCAAGUCUGGGAAGUAGCCCUGGAGUUCUCUUAAAAGGUAAGGCAUGGUGGGGGGAGCUCUGACAGACUUAGAGAGCUCAUAGUGGAAAUGGCCUCUUUUGUUUAUCAUUUAAGAUUGUUUCAAAAUGCAGUGUUAUAUGAUCUUCAUUUCAUUAGUUACUCUGGGGAUCAGUUGAGGGUGUAACAGGUACCUGAGGGAAUGCUCUAGGGUAUUAGUCUUCCAUGAUGAUUUUUUUCCCCCAGCAGGCAAUACACAGUUCAGCAGAGAAAGUUUCCUGUUGAGUGUUGAGGAAGAUCUGGUUCUUCUUCCUAGUGCAUCUCAGGAAAGAAAUGGAAUCGCACAAAAGGUGUUCUCCUAGACCUGGCUUCUGGUGCACUGAGCAGUCCACCUUCUCUACCUUUUCUGUCAGUGGCAAAAUUUGCCCUUUUAUCUCAAACCUCAAAAUAUCAGACACAACCCCCACAAAAUCUUAAUUUUCCUCUGUAAGGUUUUUUUCUUUGCUUGUUUUUCUUCUUUUUUUUCUCAAGCUUAUAUAUAUUGCUAAGUUGAUUGCUUUUGGGUUUCUGUGAAUUCUGAACUUGGGUAAAGUAGCAUUUCAUUUUAUUUAUCACAUACAGACAGAGACUUUCCACCUUAAGGGUUUCCACAUGUUUUCUGGUGUUUGGGAUGUGGCAAGUUUUCUUAUUCAUCUUUUCUGGCUUUGAUAUGAUGCCAUGGGCACCUCCUUGUCUCUUUACUCAAUCUGCUUAAAGAGAAACCUUGGCCAUUGGUUGUGGAAAGAGGUCUGCUGUGACAAAGUGGAGAUGAGAUUCUGGCCACUUUAUUAUGCUUCUUUUAUGGUUUUCUCUUGCUCAUGGAGGUCAUAUAUUUCUGUGUUUCUCUUGGGAAAGUUAAAGGGUCAUGGGAGGUAGGGCUUGAAUUAUUGCCUGAAUUCAGUGAUACAUUGCUAAAUUACAGAUAAACUAACUACUAUGGCAGGUGUGUGGCAGAAUUCAGGUCUUAAGCUUAAAGUGUUAGUUUCAGCCUUCAGGGAAACCCCCAGAAGACUUCCUUACCUGUUUAGAUGGCUACCACUCAGAUCAAUUAGAUUUUUAAAUCAAUAUAAUUAAUUCAGAGCUCAGGCUGUAUAGUCAGAUCACUUGUAGCUGUAGGAUCUUGGGCAACUUAAUUAUUAACCCUAAGCUGAAAUUUACCAAUUAAUAUUUUAAUGUAUUAAUUUUGUCUAUAUCAUAAAAUGAUAAUAAAGAUUAAAUAAGAUAAUAUAUGUAAAAUUCUUAUAUAUAGCUUAGGGUUUAUUUUAUGGUUGGAGAGGGAUCAUUAACAGUUAUAAAUAUUUAGGCUAAAAAUAUAUAUACAUGAGAAAAGAUAUACAUUGUUUAAUAUGAAGAGGCAUAAAUAAUAGAAAUAUGAGAUUUUUCUGAGAGGCCAUUUGGUUGUCAUAAGAGGAUAGUGGGGCCCUGGUGAGAGGAUAUGACAGCAAUAGAGAGCACUGAAAAACACGAUCAUACCUCUACCUGGCUAUGUAUCUGUUUGGCAGCCAUCAGUCAAUAGAAAAACCAGACAUAAAAUCUGAAUAUGGAUUCAUGUUUUUCAAUCACUGCUUGUUUAUUUUUGUGCCAUUCCCUCAAAAUCAUUAUAUUCUCCUACUUUGGGGAUAAUUACUCUGGUGUUUAAUUCUAAUCAUAGUAUAUUUUCAAAGAGACAACAAACUUAGAAACCCUGUCUGCAUAUCUUGAUAGGUGCCUAGUGAAGAAUGAAGACAUUUUUUGUUGAGGAAACUUUCAGUAGGGUUUCAUUUCUCAGCUUCAAAUCUUUUCUAUAGGAGAUCUUCCCUCCAAAACAGUGACUCUUUCAAGACGAAUAUUUACUAGAGAGAUAAGUAUUCAAGAAUUUCUAGCAUUUGAAGAAAUAGUUUCUAGUUAUGUUUCAUAACUUUCUAACAUUAGGAGAAGACAUUUUUUAUAAAGUUGAUAAAUAUGUGUUGAUGUUAUCUAAGGUUUUUGCAUGUAUACUGCAUCCACAGAUAAGAUGGGUGGUUUUCUCAGAUUUAAUUUUUUCCUGACUAAACUGUCAAGAAUCUUCUUUCUAACUCCUCCUGAGAAAACCCAGGGGGGAAGACAGAAAGCUUCUUUUUAGGACAUCAGUCAUUGUUAAUUGUUAAUGGAGCCAUAAACCAAGGGGAAUGAAAGAGAUGCCUGCAUUGGUGCUAGUCUUUCCUUUAAUUAGUAAGAGACAUGUUGUUUCAUCUGUGCACAAUAUUUGAUUAAUAAAUUAUUUUUCUUUCUGAGACUCUAAUCAGCUUCCAAGCCAGGGGUGCUCAAGUAAGUGUGACACAUUAGAAAAAAAAAUUUCCAUUGCCUGGCCUUCUUCAAGUUACAGUUCAUUGAACAAAGGAGCUGGAACCAUGUUGUAAACUGAACAAGGUGAUCACUAUUUGGUUUCCAGGUGCAGUAUGCAGAUCUCCAAUUGAAUUGAGGAGUCCUGAAAUCAAGGUACAUAUUCUGUGUUCUAGGAAAUCAGUCUUAAGUAGAACAGUAAUAAUAGGCAACACUUAUAUAGUGCUUACUAUAUGCCAGACAUUAUUUAAAAUGCUUUACAUACAUAAUGCCAUCUCACCCCAUCUUAAAUGAAAAAAGUCAGGUUUAGAGAGAUUAAGUAACAGGACCAAGGUCACCCUGCUUCCAAGGAACACCUUAGAAAUCAGGUUUGUCUGGUACAUAAACACUGACCUCAACUUUCUUCCUGAGAAGAAUUUGGAAUUUUGUAAGUGACUGAAAUCCACAUGGUUAUCUUUCUCACUUGAAAAAACCAGUGGGGAGAAACAGAGAAGCUCCAUCCUACUGAUAAAGAACUUUGCUUUAGAAUCAACAAAUAAAUACAGUGCAUGAGGAUGUGACUUUAAAAAUGUUUUACAAACACAGUGGAUGACCUAAAAUGUAGAUGAUGAUUAGGACUGAUCAUUUCUGUCAUUAGUACUAUUUUUUGAAGAUAAAUAAAAUGUUUUGUGUCUGA